UCAAUUUGACCAUAAUCUGAGUUAACCGGCUUUUUAGACGGGUUUGCACUCGUUUCAAUAUGACCAUUUGCUGGUUUUCGUCCUUGUCCUUGCAGAGUAUCCCUUGAUGACCUGCAAAAUGCAUGUUUGAUUCAAAGAUUAGAUAAUUAAUUAAGAACCCAGACUAUAUAUCUGUUAGAAGAUAGAUAGAACAAAAAAAUGGUAAGAAAGUGGUAUUUCAAAACUACCUGAGAGCUAGCUGAGAAAAAUCAUCUUCAGGCUCCUCAUCCUCGUGAGUCACAUUGACUAAAGGGACAACUGAAGUUUGUGUUUGUCCUACUCUUGGAGCAGCUGUUCCUUUUGCAAUGUC
rnacentral:lncRNA from 1 species